rnacentral:rRNA from 1 species
UACGUAGGGGGCGAGCGUUGUCCGGAAUCAUUGGGCGUAAAGCGCGUGUAGGCGGUCCGGUAAGUCCGCUGUGAAAGUCGGGGGCUCAACCCUCGGAUGCCGGUGGAUACUGUCGGGCUUGAGUACGGAAGAGGCGAGUGGAAUUCCUGGUGUAGCGGUGAAAUGCGCAGAUAUCAGGAGGAACACCAAUUGCGAAGGCAGCUCGCUGGGACGUUACUGACGCUGAGACGCGAAAGCCAGGGGAGCGAACGGG